rnacentral:lncRNA from 1 species
UUACUGAGACUCACUCCCAGGCAGAACUCCAUCAGACCUACAGAGUGGACAGGAGGAGGGGCUGAGGAGAAACCGCGUAGGAGCUCCACUGGACUGGGAUUUUACAGGGAUCACGGCAGGAAGGGAAGGGCUUGGGACAGGAAAAGGGAUUUUUAGGGUCCCUUGUCCCGCUGGAGUUGGUCAGGGGAGCUGGCUGAGAUCCAGGAUUGGCCAGGGGGUUCUGUUGAUUGACAGGCGUUCGGUGCCUGAUUGAUAUUUCUUUCCUGCACGGGCUGCUUUGUUCUAAGUCACCGCUGCUGACCUGACAAGAAACAUGACAGUCGGAGACCAGAACAUUCCAGGUACCAUCCAGCACCUGCUCACUGGAGUCUCAGCCUUGAUGAUUGUCCCUUACUGACACUGAUGUUCACUCUCCCUCCCCUGCCCAGGCCCUUGUCCUCAGAGAUGCUGUUCCCAUCUACCAGGUUCACUUGGAUCAGGCCAUCACUUUUCUGGAUAUUAAGAGGUCAAUGUACUAAAGCUCAGGGACACUCUCCUAAUGCCUAAGAGUUGUCUGUGCUGAGGUGAGAAGUAGGAAGAGACCCUCGGAGUGUCCAGCAUGACUCUGCUCUAGUGAGGCUCCUCUGCAUGAACACAGCAUCAGAUCACACACGGUGACUGCUCUCGCCUUGGUGUCCUGGUGCUCGGGUACAUACUGGCUCCCACACAGUGGCUCCAACAGUAGAUACCAAGGUGGCCAUGAGCUGCACUCUUCUGGAGGCUCCACGGGAGUCAGUUUCCUCACCUUUUCCAGCUUCUAGCUGCUGCCUGCUUCCCUGGCCUGUGGGCCCGACUCCAUCUUUGAAGAAAGCAAGUGGCCCCUGAAGGCUCUCUGCUCUGCUCCUGCCCCACACCUCUGGCUUCUUCUGUCUGUCCUGCUUCCCUCUCUCCCUUACAAGGAAAGGACCUUGUGACUACCUGGACCCACCAGAUGGACCACAAGAACCUGUCACAAUUAUAUUAGAAUAUAUGAUUAAUGUGAUUAAUAUGAUUCAAUUAUAUGUGAUUAAUAUU